UAAUACGAAGGGGGCUAGCGUUGUUCGGAAUUACUGGGCGUAAGGCGAGCGUAGGUUGCUCGACGUGUCAGUGGUGAAAUCCCGGAGCUCAACUUCGGAACUGCCAUUGAAACUGUCGAGCUGGAAUCUCAGAGGGGAUAGCGGAAUUCCAAAUGUAGGGGUGAAAUCCGUAGAUAUUUGGAGGAACACCGGUGGCGAAGGCGGCUAUCUGGAUGAGUAUUGACACCGAGGCUCGAAAGCGUGGGGAUCAAACAGG
rnacentral:rRNA from 1 species